rnacentral:rRNA from 1 species
UACGUGGGAGGGCAAGCGUUGUCCGGAAUCAUUGGGCGUAAAGAGCGUGUAGGCGGCCAGAAAAGUCCGCUGUGAAAACUCGAGGCUCAACUUCGAGCUGUCGGUGGAAACUUUCUGGCUAGAGUCCGGAAGAGGAGAAUGGAAUUCCUGGUGUAGCGGUGAAAUGCGCAGAUAUCAGGAAGAACACCCGUGGCGAAGGCGGUUCUCUGGGACGGUACUGACGCUGAGACGCGAAAGCGUGGGGAGCGAACAGG